GGAAGUAAAAAUCGUAACAAGGUUUCCGUAGGUGAACCUGCGGAAGGAUCAUUCAUAAUAAGUGUUUUAUGGCACUUUUUUAAAUCCAUAUCCACCUUGUGUGCAAUGUCAGGGUUGAUUUUUCUCUCGAGAGGAUCAACCCCAAACAUCAACUAUAUCUCAACUCUUUGUCUGAAAAAUAUUAUGAAUAAAACAAUUCAAAAUACAACUUUCAACAACGGAUCUCUUGGCUCUC
rnacentral:misc_RNA from 1 species